rnacentral:lncRNA from 1 species
UGAAGCAGGCACCACAGGUGUCUAUGAUGCCCAGGCUGGUCUGAAACUCAUGGAUGCAAGCAAUCCUCCCACCUUGGCCUCCCAAAGUAUUCAGAUGACAGGUGGGAGCCACCACUCUCUUACAACUUUAAAAAAUGGUUAAAAAUGGACGGAUGAGGUGGCUCCCACCAGUAAUCCCAGCCCUUUGGGAGGCCAAAGAGGGAGAAUCACUCGAGCUCAGAAGUUU